rnacentral:sRNA from 2 species
UUCAGGCAGUAAGAAGGAUGAACCUCCCUCCCGUUUUUCAACCAUCUUCCUGUCAUUUUAGAGCCAUCCUGGGGUCUCCAGCUAGUGGAAUUCAAAACAC